ACGCAAUUAGUAUAAAAUGUAUUUUAAAUUUAGAGUUUAACGGAAGAUGUUGUGUUUUGUAU
rnacentral:tRNA from 1 species